AAUAGAUACCCUGGUAGUCCACGCCGUAAACGAUGAGUGCUAAGUGUUGGGGGUUUCCGCCCCUCAGUGCUGCAGCUAACGCAUUAAGCACUCCGCCUGGGGAGUACGGUCGCAAGACUGAAACUCAAAGGAAUUGACGGGGGCCCGCACAAGCGGUGGAGCAUGUGGUUUAAUUCGAAGCAACGCGAAGAACCUUACCAGGUCUUGACAUCCCGGUGACCACUAUGGAGACAUAGUUUCCCCUUCGGGGGCAACGGUGACAGGUGGUGCAUGGUUGUCGUCAGCUCGUGUCGUGAGAUGUUGGGUUAAGUCCCGCAACGAGCGCAACCCUUAUUCUUAGUUGCCAUCAUUCAGUUGGGCACUCUAAGGAGACUGCCGGUGAUAAACCGGAGGAAGGUGGGGAUGACGUCAAAUCAUCAUGCCCCUUAUGACCUGGGCUACACACGUGCUACAAUGGACGGUACAAACGGUUGCCAACCCGCGAGGGGGAGCUAAUCCGAUAAAACCGUUCUCAGUUCGGAUUGUAGGCUGCAACUCGCCUAC
rnacentral:rRNA from 1 species